rnacentral:tRNA from 1 species
CCGGCUGUGGAGCGUGGCAUUCGGCCUCGGUUCGCUGCUGGCGACCUUCGCCCAGGGCGUGAUCCUGGGCACGCUGGUUCAGGGCAUCCCGCUGGUC